GAUGAACGCUGGCGGCGUGCUUAACACAUGCAAGUCGAACGGAAAGGCCCAAGCUUGCUUGGGUACUCGAGUGGCGAACGGGUGAGUAACACGUGGGUGAUCUGCCCUGCACUUCGGGAUAAGCCUGGGAAACUGGGUCUAAUACCGGAUAGGACCACAUUUUGGAUGGUGUGGUGGAAAGUUUUUCGGUGUGGGAUGAGCUCGCGGCCUAUCAGCUUGUUGGUGGGGUAAUGGCCUACCAAGGCGUCGACGGGUAGCCGGCCUGAGAGGGUGUACGGCCACAGUGGGACUGAGAUACGGCCCAGACUCCUACGGGAGGCAGCAGUGGGGAAUAUUGCACAAUGGGCGCAAGCCUGAUGCAGCGACGCCGCGGGGGGGAUGACGGCCUUCGGGUUGUAAACUCCUUUCGCUAGGGACGAAGCGUUAUGUGACGGUACCUGGAGAAGAAGCACCGGCUAACUACGUG
rnacentral:rRNA from 1 species